AAGUUUAUAAUAAUUAUCGCAAUUAUAUUAAUCAAUUUUCGCAUUAAAUGAAGUUGGAGGAUUCGCUUUUAAGGGAGAAGUUGCCGAAGCUUUAAUUUCCGCAGCGAUGAGUGUCGGUGGAAUUAUGGAUUUCGCACCAAACUUACAAAAAGGUAUUAUUGCAGCAAAUAAAAUGUCUAGUUUGGUGAAGAGACUCCCGGAAAUUCAAGAUGAUGAAAAUUCAACUAGUACAGGAUGGAGUGAAGAUUAAAAAGAGAACCAGCUCUCAGGUAAUAAUUAUGGAUUGUACUUGAUAUGGGAGAAGACUUCUAUACUAAAUCGAAUGACAUUGGAGCACCCCAGCAACAAGCAAAUAGGUAACAUAUUUAGGUCCCAAUAACUAAUAAAUAAUCUUUUAAUGGUCUAACUUCACUAUGACUUAUUAUGGACCACCAUUAAUGAUAUAGCCAUUCUAGAGCUAAUCUAAGGCCACAACAUUGGUAUUAAAGUAAAUCGGUUUCCGAUUUUAAUUGACAAUUCUAUUAAAUAAAAUGUUUACAGAGCAGUAAGCAAAAGACACUUGAUAAAUGAGAAUGGUCGACCAAUGAUGGCCUAUUGUGUGGAUAUAUCUCCUAACCACAGCUUAGGUUAUUUGUGCAAAAUAGCCACACAUGUUUUGAUGUGUGGAGUCCAACUGCUCACAAAGAUUUUUGCCACCAUAAUCUCCAUCACUUAUGACCACUGAAUCCUAGGAAUGACCAAUCUGCCAUAUUCAAAAAUUUUUUGGCUUUGCCAAGAUUUUAACCUCAAUAAUUAAAGAUUUAAUUCAAAUAGUUCAAGGUUUA